AGAGUUUGAUCCUGGCUCAGGAUGAACGCUAGCGGCAGGCCUAACACAUGCAAGUCGAACGGUAACAGUGUAGCAAUACAGCUGACGAGUGGCGCACGGGUGAGUAACGCGUAUGCAACCUGCCUUCAACUGGAGGAUAGCCCCGAGAAAUUGGGAUUAAUACUCCAUAAAGUGCAGGGGACACAUGUCCCUUGUAUUAAAGCUCCGGCGGUUGGAGAUGGGCAUGCGUGGCAUUAGCUAGUUGGUGAGGUAACGGCUCACCAAGGCAUCGAUGCCUAGGGGUUCUGAGAGGAAAGUCCCCCACACUGGUACUGAGACACGGACCAGACUCCUACGGGAGGCAGCAGUGAGGAAUAUUGGUCAAUGGGUGCAAGCCUGAACCAGCCAUGCCGCGUGCAGGAAUGACGGCCCUAUGGGUUGUAAACUGCUUUUCUGUGGGAAGAAACCCCGCUACGUGUAGCGGGCUGACGGUACCUCAGGAAUAAGCACCGGCUAACUCCGUGCCAGCAGCCGCGGUAAUACGGAGGGUGCAAGCGUUAUCCGGAUUUAUUGGGUUUAAAGGGUGCGUAGGCGGGCUAGCAAGUCAGUGGUGAAAUCCCGCAGCUUAACUGCGGAACUGCCAUUGAAACUACUAGCCUUGAGUACGGUUGAAGUGGGUGGAAUGUGUCAUGUAGCGGUGAAAUGCAUAGAUAUGACACUGAACGCCGAUAGCGAAGGCAGCUCACUAAGCCGAAACUGACGCUGAGGCACGAAAGCGUGGGGAGCGAACAGGAUUAGAUACCCUGGUAGUCCACGCCGUAAACGAUGAUAACUCGAUGUGUGCGAUAUACAGUACGCGUCCAAGCGAAAGUGUUAAGUUAUCCACCUGGGAAGUACGUCCGCAAGGAUGAAACUCAAAGGAAUUGACGGGGGCCCGCACAAGCGGAGGAGCAUGUGGUUUAAUUCGAUGAUACGCGAGGAACCUUACCUGGGCUUAAAUGCAGAGCGACGCAGCGGGAAACCGUUGCUUCUUCGGACGGUCUGCAAGGUGCUGCAUGGUUGUCGUCAGCUCGUGCCGUGAGGUGUCGGGUUAAGUCCCAUAACGAGCGCAACCCCUAUCCUUAGUUGCCAGCAUGUAAUGAUGGGGACUCUAGGGAAACUGCCUACGCAAGUAGAGAGGAAGGUGGGGACGACGUCAAAUCAGCACGGCCCUUAUGUCCAGGGCUACACACGUGCUACAAUGGCCCGUACAGAGGGCAGCCGCCUGGCGACAGGUAGCCAAUCUCAAAAACGGGUCUCAGUUCGGAUCGGAGUCUGCAACUCGACUCCGUGAAGUUGGAUUCGCUAGUAAUCGCGUAUCAGCAACGACGCGGUGAAUACGUUCCCGGGCCUUGUACACACCGCCCGUCAAGCCAUGGGAGUUGGGGGUACCUGAAGUCGAUAACCGCAAGGAGUCGCCUAGGGUAAAACCGAUGACUGGGGCUAAGUCGGAACAAGGUA
rnacentral:rRNA from 1 species